rnacentral:rRNA from 1 species
CGAACGCUGGCGGCGUGCUUAACACAUGCAAGUCGAGGAGAACGGGAUUCUUCGGAUUCCCUAGUAAACUGGCGGAUGGGUGAGUAACGCGUAGGCAACCUGCCUUACAGAAGGGGAUAACAUCGGGAAACUGGUGCUAAUACCCUAUAUUAUCUUUCUAUCGCAUGAUAGGUUGAUGAAAAGGGCUACUUUGUAGUACCGCUGUAAGAGGGGCCUGCGUCCUUUUAGCUUGUUGGUAGGGUAACGGCCUACCAAGGCGACGAUGGGUAGCUGGUCUGAGAGGAUGAUCAGCCACACUGGCACUGAGACACGGGCCAGACUCCUACGGGAGGCAGCAGUGAGGAAUAUUGGGCAAUGGGCGCAAGCCUGACCCAGCAACGCCGCGUGAGUGAUGAAGCUCCGAGGAGUGUAAAGCUCUGUUAGGAGGGAAGAAAUUUCCGGCUUAGUCGGAAUUGACGGUACCUCCAGAGAAAGCUCCGGCUAACUCCGUGCCAGCAGCCGCGGUAACACGGGGGGAGCAAGCGUUGUCCGGAUUUACUGGGCGUAAAGAGCGUGUAGGCGGGAUAAUUAGUCAGUGGUGAAAUCUUGCGGCUUAACCGUAAGCCUGCUACUGAUACUGUUAUCCUUGAGUGUGGAAGAGGGAAGUGGAAUUCCUGGUGUAGCGGUGAAAUGCGUAGAUAUCAGGAAGAACACCAGUAGCGAAGGCGGCUUCCUGGUCCACUACUGACGCUGAGACGCGAAAGCGUGGGGAGCAAACAGGAUUAGA